AUAGGAAUUGCUGGGUCAUGUGGUAAUUCUAUGUUCAACUUUUUGAGGAACUGUCAAACUGUUUUUCAUAGUGGCUGUACCAUUUUAUAUUCCCACCAGCAAU
rnacentral:pre_miRNA from 1 species